rnacentral:misc_RNA from 1 species
GUGAAUCAUCAAAUUUUUGAACGCAUAUUGCGCUCUCUGGUAUUCCGGAGAGUAUGCCUGUUUGAGGGUAAGUAAAAACAAUCUUUAACCAAUUUUGGUGGGCAAAGGAAAUGAGUUCUCCGCAUUGAUAGCGGGAGCUGGAAAUAAAUGGUCAGGUCUCAUGUUAGUCGAGACGCGUAAUAAUAUUAUGUCGCGAGAUCUUUAUUAGUUGACUAGCAAGUUUGGAUGCAUACGAAUGUGUGUUGUGUGCGAUCAAUACAAAUAUUUUGAACAUUAC